rnacentral:lncRNA from 1 species
CCUCUAUCUGUGUUUUUAGCUGUUUAAAGGAUGGUAUACUCUAUCUGUGUUCUAACUGUUUAUAGGAUGGUAGCUUCUAUCUGUGUUUCUAUUGGUUUAAACAGGAGGUGAGUUUGACUAACAUUUAGCUCCACCUAUUAGAUUGCAGAUCGCUGGUCGAGCUCCGCCUUUCAAGUGCAACACACACACGCGCGCACACACUCCAGCACUUUGCAUCGCUUUGCAGUGCGCGUGCGCGUGCAGGUCGACACCGAAGGUGCUGCACGUUCAGCACACAGCGCGAGCCUCUGCGGCCUCUGCGGCACGGGGCCGCGCGGGCCCGGUAGGGGUAGCAGCUGGAGCCGGUUUGCCCCCUCGCGCCCCUGACCCGCAUGGAUUUACCCCAUGGAUGACUCGGACGGCGCGGAGGCCGAGCGCGCGCCCCCGCGCGUGCCCGUGGCGACCGGGGCUGGCGGCUGGGGGACGGACGGGACCGGGGGGGAGUUUCCCGGCAGGUACGUCAUCGCGGAACCGAGCACGGCGCACGAGGAGGAGGAAGAUGAAGAAGAGGAUGAGGAGGACGAGGCGCGCGGGCGCGGGGCGCAGCUGCACGAUUUAAAUUAGGCCAAUUGUCCCACUCAUUCAGCCGCUACUCAGCUGUAUAUCCCCCAUCACAAGUGAUGCCACAACGCAUAGACAGCACAAGGAGGGUGAAAACUAGCACAUGCCUCCUCUGACACACGUGAAGUCAGCCACUGCCUCUUUUCGAACUGCAGAGUAGCCAGCGCGACUUGGUUUUGAUACAUCAGCUAAGGACUUGUACUGAUGGACAUCACCCAAGGAGUGAUGAAGCGAAAGAGUGCCAUCUACCCACCCAGAGAGAACAAGGGCUCCGGCAGCUAAUGGCAAGAUACAUGACUGGGAUUUAAACCAGCGAUCUCCCAAACAUGGGGGCAGCACCGCUGGACCACUUGUCACCUGAGAUUGGUGGAAUUGUAAGGCAGUUCUGCUUAGAGUCCACAAACACACAAAUGAAUCCAGUUGAGUUUGGAAUGAACAACAUAUAGGAUGUUGGGAAACCCAACAAACACACAAAUCUGCUACUAUGCUUUCUACUUUUUUAUAAUGUCACUACAACAUUGUUCAAACGUUGCACUGUUAAUGUUUUAUUAACAGUGUUGUCACAGUGUUGCUUAUCAUUAGGUAACUACCUUCACUGUUUUCCAAUAUUCCAAUCAUGUUCCAAUAAUCAUUAUCUAACCAUAGAACACAUCAUAUAUUGUAGAGCAG